AACUUAAGCAUAUCCAAUAAGCGGAGGAAAAGAAACCAACAGGGAUUGCCUUCAGUAACGGCGAGAUGAAGCGGCAACAGCUCAAAUUUGAAAUCUGGCCCUUCCGGGGUUCCGAGUUGUAAUUUGUAGAGAGUGUUUCGGGCGAGGCCAUGGUCUAAGUCUAUUGGAACAUUACGUCACAGAGGGUGAGAAUCCCGUAUGUGACCGUGGCUCGAGCCCAUGUGAAACCUCUUCGACGAGUCGAGUUGUUUGGGAAUGCAGCUCAAAAUGGGUGGUAAAUUUCAUCUAAAGCUAAAUACUGGCUGGAGACCGAUAGCGCACAAGUAGAGUGAUCGAAAGAUGAAAAGCACUUUGGAAAGAGAGUUAAACAGUACGUGAAAUUGUUGAAAGGGAAGCGCUGGCAACCAGACCUGCCCGUAGGCGAUCAGCCGCUGUUCUCAGCGGUGCACUCGUUCUGCGAUCAGGCCAGCAUCGGUUUCGGCGGUCGGAUAAAGGCCCGGGGAAUGUAGCUCCCUUUCGGGGGAGUGUUAUAGCCUCGGGCGCAAUGCGGCCAGCCGGGACCGAGGACCGCGCUUCGGCUAGGAUGCUGGCGUAAUGGUUGUCAGCGACCCGUCUUGAAACACGGACCAAGGAGUCUAACAUUUAUGCGAGUGUUUGGGUGUUAAACCCAUACGCGGAAUGAAAGUGAACGGAGGUGAGCACCCCUCGGGGCGCAUCAUCGGCCGAUCCAGAUGUCUUCGGAUGGAUUUGAGCAAAAGCAGAAAUGUUGGGACCCGAAAGAUGGUGAACUAUGCCUGAAUAGGGUGAAGCCAGAGGAAACUCUGGUGGAGGCUCGCAGCGGUUCUGACGUGCAAAUCGAUCGUCAAAUUUGGGUAUAGGGUCGCGAAAGACUAAUCGAACCAUUCUAGUAGCUGGUUCCUGCCGAAGUUCCCCUCAGA
rnacentral:rRNA from 1 species